rnacentral:lncRNA from 1 species
GGGAUUGGUUUCAGAGCAAAGAUGAUUCAUUUGUGAUUCACUUUGUGGAAACAGUCUUAGUGCUGCUCUUUUGAGGCAAUAUAGACGUUUGAGAAAGAGCCAGAAGUUUCAAGUAGACUCAGCCAGGCUCUCCUUGGAGACUCGUGAGGCUAAGUUCAAGCCAGCUGGAGGCAUAUGCAACAAAUUCAAAACUUAACCUGGCCAGGUGAUGCCUUCCCUGGGUUUCUCCAUUGGAAGUCAUCUCCUUCUCCAUUCCAGUAGCAGCAGACUACUGGAGGGGGGAUGUUGGCAGGAGAAUGCAGACUGCUCUGUGAUGAGCAGAGUAGAAACCAGGAACAAGGAGCUUAAGUCACUGGGGAAGAACAGCUUUUGCAAAGUCCGGAGCUGCCUCUGUGGGUACCACUUCCUACUCUUAGUUUUUGGCACCAGUUGUGUCUACUGAUAUGGAUGCCAGACUUGAAAGAUGUUUGUUAUUGUGUGAAAUUGAGGGUCAGGUUUUAUUAAUUUGUUACUUUCCAAGAAAGAAUUACUUGUUCAGAAACUAAAUUAGGGUGCAGUGACCAAUAUCUGGCUUUAGGGUUACUUAGAAGGCACCAUGACUUGUUGGCUGGUUUGUGAGUUGUGUGUGUGUGUGUGUGUGUGUGUGUGUGUGUGUGUGUGUGUGUGUGUGUGAGUGUGUGUGUGUGUGUGUGUGUUCUCUUGUUGUCUACUGUCAACUCCUAUCCUCCUGUGUCAUCUUUUCCUAAAAACAUGAGACUUAGUCAUACUCAAGACAAACGCAUAACUGCUUCAUACCUCUCUCCUCCCUUCCCCCUUUAUGAAAUGCUGGGGAUAGAACUUGCGACCUUUUAUACAUGUGAAGCAAGUGCUUUGCCACUGAACUACAUGCCCGUCCUUCCCCUACAUACUUAUAAACCCACAAAAUUACAUAAGUCGAUUGCAGGUCCUUUUAUAAAUAGCCUGGAUGAGAUGAUGAACCAGUUCACCAUUUGUGACACGAAGCGUCUUGUUCUCCAGAGGACUCCUGCAAUAGCUGAACAAAGUCACCAGCUCUUCAGCGUGCAUUUCUGGGAUGGCAUGCAAAUACAGACAGCACAGAGCCCAGAGUGUGGCAUUUGGACUCACUCUUGGCUCUGGGCCAGCUCUCAUCCCCAUAUGACUUGACAAAAUGGGACCCAGCAUAAAAGGCAUAGAUGGACCAGAGAGAUCUUCCACCUCCUCAACGUUUCAUGGAACCUGUCAUUUUCCUCAGGCUGCACAAACAGAAAGAAUCUUUUUCCUCCAGACUCAAAUUGAGCAGAACGGCAGAGCAGAUGGUGCUGGUCAGUUAAGUAACAGCAGAACACAGGGAACAACUUGUUUUCAAAAACAAAUGGCCCUUCUUGGAAGGUACAAUCUAAUAGGGCUGUCAAAACUCAAACUCGGAGAAUUUCUCUCUAAGCAACAGCCUGCAAGCCAUUUCCCUAAGCUGGGCUGCAAGGGAUUCAGGGAUCUCUCUCUUCUGUUUUUCUUUAUGCUGAGGGCAGUAUGGCUCACAGAAGGCAGGGGAUAAUGAAUAAUGAUGAUCAGUCCAAGCAGAUCAAUGUUAUUGCAUGUUUCUGUUUCCAUAGUUCCCACACCUUGACUCACACAGUUUCCUCAAUCAAGUGCAAAGAAGCCAGAGAAUUCAUACUCAUUUUUCUGUUAAAAAAAAAAAGGUCAAAAAAGUUUGACACUUUGCUGAGGUGAAGUUGUAAUAAGCACGAUGUUUAAGGUUGUCUAUUUAUUGUUCAUUUAUUCAUCUGAGUGUGCAUGUAUGCUUCGUUCAUGGUGUGUGUUGGGCCUGGAGACCAUGCAGUGAACCAGUGCAUCAUAUCCUUUGCUUACAAGGAGACUCUAGUUUAGCAGAUGGGGACAAAGGAAUAGCUAAUGACAACAAAUACAACAGAGGUGGGUAAGAACAUAGGACUAUUUAAUGUAGCCUGUAAGCAGUGAGGGCAAUAGCUAUGGAAAAGAAUAGGUCCCUGGCCCAGUGAGAUAGCUUAAUGAUAAAUACACUUCCUACCAAUCCUGAAAGCCUGGGUUAGAUCUAUGGGACCCUUAGUGUAAGUCAUCUUCCUCCCCUUGCAUUUGCUAUGGCAUGCAUGUGCCGUAUCCCACAAUAAAGUUAAUUUUAAUAGCUUUUGUUGUUGUUGCUAAAAGACUAGGUUCCUCAAAAUUGUAUCUUUGUUGAGAUAAAUAUUAGUGAGAAAUUAUUGAGGUAGAAAGCUUGGGACUUGGGGGAGAGGAGAGAAAAGAAAGAAAUAUCUAGGUUCCGAAGGUAGUCUUCAUCUCUUCAGCAUGUAUUCCUAGGAUGGCAUGCCAGUCCAGACAGAACCCAGGGACUGAGUGUAAUGACUGGGGGCAUCUGGGGUUGUACAGGGCACUGAUAAUGGUUAUAGAUCUGGCAGAGAAGGUGGACAGUAGAAGCCUGAAAUCAUAGCAUCAAUAAGAUAACCUUUAGUAGAAGAGUUUGGUUGAUACGUGCUGGUAAUGAGGAAAUCUGCAACAUUUUCUUUAAGUGUAACUGAUUGGAUAAAGAGUAUCAAAACUAGAAGCGAUAGCUCUAG